rnacentral:tRNA from 1 species
GUAGUGUAGUCCGGCCAAUCAUUCCGGCCUUUCUAGCCGGUGACCCGGGUUCAAAUCCCGGC